UGGCUACAUCAUGUUGAAACACCAGUUCUCUAACAAUCACAAAAGUUAAGCAACAUUGCACCUGGUCAGUACCUAGAUUGGUGACCACUUGAGAAUACUAGGUGCUGUAAG